rnacentral:misc_RNA from 1 species
GUCUGCUUAGAAUCCCAGCACACUCCAAAUCCUCAGGAACAAGAACAGGUGGAAGUAGGAUCAAGAAGGAAGCCAAAAGUGGAGAAACCAGAGAUGAUUGAGAUUGUGAACCUAGACGAUGGUGAUGAUGAUGUGUUUUUCUACUCACCCAUCUCAAACAAAGGUAACACCAGGAGAACUGCAAUAGCUGUUGAGCAGUACAGUGAAGAAAGAGACCUUAACCUUGCUAUUAUUGCCUCCCUUAAAUCCACCAACAAAACCAACAAGCAGGAAAAUUUUGUCCAUCUUUCCCAUGAUAAUCAUGAUUAUUACUAUGUGGAUGAUGUUGGUGGUGGUGUUGAUGAUGAUGAUGAUGAUGUUAGAGUACUUAACUUCAAACCCCAAUCCAACAUUUCUAAGGUAGGAAGAAAUAGCUUUAAAGAUUCGGUGACCGAAUGCGGACAAUCUUCUAAAGCCAAAAGCGACCC